rnacentral:tRNA from 1 species
AGCAGUGUGGCUCAGUGGAAAGAGCACAGGCUUCGGAGUCAGAGGUCAUGGGUUCAAAUCCCCACUCUGCCA